AUUGAACGCUGGCGGCAGGCCUAACACAUGCAAGUCGAGCGGAUGAAGGGAGCUUGCUCCUGGAUUCAGCGGCGGACGGGUGAGUAAUGCCUAGGAAUCUGCCUGGUAGUGGGGGAUAACGUCCGGAAACGGGCGCUAAUACCGCAUACGUCAUGAGGGAGAAAGUGGGGGAUCUUCGGACCUCACGCUAUCAGAUGAGCCUAGGUCGGAUUAGCUAGUUGGUGGGGUAAAGGCCUACCAAGGCGACGAUCCGUAACUGGUCUGAGAGGAUGAUCAGUCACACUGGAACUGAGACACGGUCCAGACUCCUACGGGAGGCAGCAGUGGGGAAUAUUGGACAAUGGGCGAAGGCCUGAUCCAGCCAUGCCGCGUGUGUGAAGAAGGUCUUCGGAUUGUAAAGCACUUUAAGUUGGGAGGAAGGGCAGUAAGUUAAUACCUUGCUGUUUUGACGUUACCAACAGAAUAAGCACCGGCUAACUUCGUG
rnacentral:rRNA from 1 species